UUCGCAAUGCCCGAAAGGGUGACGAAGCGACGCCGCGUGCGGGAAGAAGGCCUUCGGGUUGUAAACCGCUGUCGGGAGUUAAGAAAUGUAAGGAUGUUAAUAGCAUCUUUGCUUGACUAAGGCUCCGGAGGAAGCCACGGCUAACUCUGUGCCAGCAGCCGCGGUAAUACAGAGGCGGCAAGCGUUGUUCGGAAUUAUUGGGCGUAAAGAGCACGUAGGCGGCUAUGUAAGUCGGUUGUGAAAGCCUUCCGCUCAACGGGAGAACAGCAUCCGAUACUGCGUGGCUUGAGUGCGGGAGGGGAGAGUGGAACUUCUGGUGGAGCGGUGAAAUGCGUAGAUAUCAGAAGGAACGCCGGCGGCGAAAGCGGCUCUCUGGCCCAUAACUGACGCUGAGUGUGCGAAAGCUAGGGGAGCAAACGGGAUUAGAUACCCCGGUAGUCCUAGCCGUAAACGAUGGGCACUAAGUAGAGGGGUUUU
rnacentral:rRNA from 1 species